GUCGGGCAUGGUGGUGCAUGCCUGUAAUCCCAGCAGCUCAGGAGGCUGAGGAAGGAGGAUCACGAGUUCAAAGGCAGCCUCAGCAACAGCAAGGCCCUAAGCAACUCAGUGAGACCCUGUCUCUA
rnacentral:sRNA from 1 species